rnacentral:lncRNA from 1 species
AAGAAACAAACUUAUUAUAAAAUUCAAACAGUAAAUCAACAUUUAAACAUGAUUUUAAAUAGAAGAUAAGAAUUCAUUCAUCACUAAAUAUAACAAAAUACAAAGGGGUUCUUUUGAGUUUACCUCUUAAGCAAAAAAAAAAACGAUAGGGCUCAGCUAACAAUUUCCAAUACAGGACAACAGCACUUUCGAAAUCCCAGCAAUAUUUAGAACCCAGAAAAAUAGAAAUAAACAGCAGCUGAUUCGGACAGUGCAGAAAUCUCUCUUUUAUCCUGUUUUUCCUUUUGUUUUCUCCUCUGUUUUUGUUUGUUUUUGCAUCUUUUGUAUUUCCGAUAUAAGAUCCAAUUUGAACUCAGAAGUAUUUUUGAAUGGGAAUCAAUUUUCGUGUGUGUUCAUGAAUUCCAGAGAGAGGUGAGAGAUGAGUGAUGCAGCGGCUCGUUCUAGCCUUGGGACUCGUCGGCGAGGGAAGCUCAGGCACAAGAGGCGACAACCUCCAUUUUAAGAGAGACGAGAGAGUUUGGAGGCUGUUUUCUUUUUCAAGAAGAAAUGAGCAGAAAGGUGUUAACCAUGAGAGUAUGCGACUGUUGCUUCUCUGUUAAAGAUGAGAGAAUGAGUGAGAGAUCCGAUUUUUGGAAAAGGAGGCUAGGUUUUCUUUUUUUGUAAGGGAGAGGGGUCUCUUCUUGAGAAGAUGAAGAGGAAAGGGGGGGGGGGGGGACUGCGCCGCUGCUAGGCUAGGGUUUUUCCAAAAUCGGGGGUCGUCUGUCUCUGUCUCUCAUCUUCAGAAUCCAAUGGGAGGGGUGAAAAUUAGGGUCUAUUUUAGAGAUGAAGAGGGGAUAUUGGGCUGGCAGGUUGUGGGUUGGGGCGAAUGGAAAGAAAAUGGGCCACUAGACGCACCUGGUCAAAAGCUAUAAUGAGACCCC